GGCCGAUGGACAUUUUUCGGGCUAAUUCUGGACGUCGUCGUUUGCGCGGACUUCGCCCAGCUAAGGCUAGCGCCGGUGGGCUAGCAGAAAGCAAUUAAAGGCACCACCUGUUUCAUCCUCCACUGUGGGGUAAUUGGAAACCUCUGUCAGCUGGCGCUCAGCUGCAGCUGCCCCCGAAAAAAAUAAAAAAAUAAAUCUCUAAAAAGAAAUGGCUUGGCGACAGGAGCAGUUGUAAAAUUCAUACGUUUCGUCUUCGGUUCUCCUGAUGAAAAGAAUAAUCCAAACCAUUUUCUUUGUAGCAUCUUCUGAAGCUUGACGGUGGGAGAGUUUUUCCAAACGCUUCUCAUUAAAUGUGGUUCAACUGCAUGAUCCAGAAUGCGUAAAUCCAUACGCCGCUGAAAAUUGGAUGCCACCUCGUCGAUCAUCCUUAUGCCUACACACCUCUACAUGUUUGAGCCGCGAAAAUAUAUCCGCUUAAAGCUACUGGCGGCUGGAAUAUAUCGCAGAGGGUGGCCGCGAGGUCUUUCACGCUGCGCCGAGAGGCGCUAGCCACCGGCUAGCUCGUGAGCGAACAUGAUUGGAUGGUCGAAAGUGAAGGGGCGAUGGUUUCGGAAACAGCUGGCACCUGUGUGUGACAUGGGCGGCACGCAUUACGGACGGAGGCUGCUCUUUGAUCCGCACUGACUCACCGCUGCUGGGAAUUCAUUACAUACAUCAGAGCAGCAGGAAGCAAACAUGAAUGGGAGGUCGACGGGUGCACGCGCCUCUCGUCAUUGCAUCGUUGUCCGACAUCGGCGGCCCCGCAGGCAAGAAAAACUAUCCACAAAUGUUAAAGACUGAAUUACAUCACUUGUACUAAAAUAAAAGGAAGCUAUUC